rnacentral:rRNA from 1 species
UACGGGGGGAGCAAGCGUUGUUCGGAUUUCCUGGGCGUAAAGGGCGCGUAGGCGGCCACCGCAAGUCAGUUGUGAAAUCUCUGGGCUUAACCCAGAAAGGUCAACUGAUACUGCGGGGCUAGAGUGCAGAAGGGGCAACUGGAAUUCUCGGUGUAGCGGUGAAAUGCGUAGAUAUCGAGAGGAACACCUGCGGCGAAGGCGGGUUGCUGGGCCGACACUGACGCUGAUGCGCGAAAGCCAGGGGAGCGAACGGG